GCACAAGCGGUGGAGCAUGUGGUUCAAUUCGAAGCAACGCGCAGAACCUUACCAGCCCUUGACAUCCCGGUCGCGGAGAGCAGAGACGCACUCCUUCAGUUCGGCUGGACCGGAGACAGGUGCUGCAUGGCUGUCGUCAGCUCGUGUCGUGAGAUGUUGGGUUAAGUCCCGCAACGAGCGCAACCCUCGCCCUUAGUUGCCAUCAUUUAGUUGGGCACUCUAAGGGGACUGCCGGUGAUAAGCCGGAGGAAGGUGGGGAUGACGUCAAGUCCUCAUGGCCCUUACGGGCUGGGCUACACACGUGCUACAAUGGCGGUGACAGAGGGAUGCAAAGGGGCGACCCUUCGCAAAUCUCAAAAAGCCGUCUCAGUUCGGAUUGGGGUCUGCAACUCGACCCCAUGAAGUCGGAGUUGCUAGUAAUCGCAGAUCAGCAUUGCUGCGGUGAAUACGUUCCCGGGC
rnacentral:rRNA from 1 species